GGCGCGGUGGGGCGGGUG
rnacentral:miRNA from 1 species